GAUAACAGGCUGAUCUUCCCCAAGAGUCCACAUCGACGGGAAGGUUUGGCACCUCGAUGUCGGCUCUUCGCCACCUGGAGCUGUACUGUAGGUGGUUCCAAGGGUUGGGCUGUUCGCCCAUUAAUGCGGUACGUGAGCUGGGUUCAGAACGUCGUGAGACAGUUC
rnacentral:rRNA from 7 species